UUCACAAAUUUACUGUAUCCCAAUAAUUCCCUCUUUUGACCUCUCACAAAGAGGUCAAUACAACUAUAUGUGAAUUUUACACCACAGAAUCACACUCACUGUC